UACAGAGGGGGCAAGCGUUGUUCGGAAUUACUGGGCGUAAAGGGCGCGUAGGCGGCCUGUUAAGUCGAACGUGAAAUCCCCGGGCUCAACCCGGGAACUGCGUCCGAUACUGGCAGGCUUGAAUCCGGGAGAGGGAUGUGGAAUUCCAGGUGUAGCGGUGAAAUGCGCAGAUAUCAGGAAGAACACCCGUGGCGAAGGCGGCUCUCUGGGACGGUACUGACGCUGAGACGCGAAAGCGUGGGGAGCGAACAGG
rnacentral:rRNA from 1 species